AAGAGGGACGAAAGAUACCAAAGGGACAGUCAAACUCAUAAAUCUAAAACAAACUGACAACUCCAUGGCUAAAAAUGAAAAAGACAAACAGAAAAACAAUAGUACACACGACACAACAUAGAAAACUAAAGAAUAAACAACACGAACCCCACCAAAAACUAGGGGUGAUCUCAGGUGCUCCGGAAGGGUAAGCAGAUCCUGCUCCACAUGUGG
rnacentral:lncRNA from 1 species